GGUCAUGCCCCAAUGGUCAAUGGUUUAUUCUUAAUGAAUCUCGAACGUAAUGUUACACAUAUUCAUAGCGUGAAUACCAAAAGAUAUAAAGUUGAUAACGAUAGUCUCACAUACUUGUGGCACUGCCGCCUUGGUCACAUUGGUGUCAAGCGCAUGAAGAAGCUCCAUGCUGAUGGACUUUUAGAGUCUCUCGAUUAUGAAUCAUUUGACACAUGCGAACCAUGCCUCAUGGGCAAAAUGACCAAGACUCCGUUCUCCGGAACAAUGGAGCGAGCAACCAACUUAUUGGAAAUCAUACAUACUGAUGUGUGUGGUCCAAUGAGCGUUGAGGCUCGCGGAGGAUAUCAUUAUGUUCUCACUCUCACUGAUGACUUGAGUAGAUAUGGGUAUGUCUACUUGAUGAAACACAAGUCUGAGACCUUUGAAAAGUUCAAGGAAUUUCAGAAUGAAGUAGAGAAUCAACGUGACCGAAAGAUAAAAUUCUUACGAUCAGAUCAUGGAGGAGAAUAUUUAAGUCAUGAAUUUGGUACACACUUAAGAAAAUGUGGAAUCGUUUCACAACUCACGCCGCCUGGAACACCUCAGCGUAACAUUGUGUCUGAACGUCGUAAUCGCACUCUAUUGGAUAUGGUGCGAUCUAUGAUGUCUCUUACCGAUUUACCGCUAUCUUUUUGGGGAUACGCUCUAGAGACAGCUACAUUCACUUUAAAUAGGGCACCGUUUAAAUCCGUUGAAACGACAUCGUAUGAAAUAUGGUUUUGGAAGAAACCUAAGCUGUCAUUUCUAAAAGUUUGGGGAUGCGAUGCUUAUGUCAAGAAACUUCAACCUGAAAAGCUCGAACCCAAGUCGGAAAAAUGCGUCUUCAUAGGAUACCCUAAGGAAACCAUUGGGUAUACCUUCUACUUAAGAUCCGAGGGCAAAAUCUUUGUUGCCAAGAACGGAUCCUUUCUGGAAAAAGAGUUUCUCUCGAAAGGAGUAAAUGGGAGGAAAAUAGAACUCGAUGAAGUACUACCUCUUGAACCGGAAAGUAGUGCAGCUCAGGAAAACGUUCCUGUGAUGCCUACACCGACUGGAGAGGAUAUUAAUGAUGAUGAUCAAGGUACUUCUGAUCAAGUUGCUACUGAACUUCGUAGGUCCACAAGAACACGUUCCACACCAGAGUGGUAUGGCAACCCUGUCCUGGAAAUCAUGUUGUUAGACAACGGUGAACCUUCGAACUAUGAAGAAGCGAUGGCGGGCCCAGAUUCCAACAAAUGGCUUGAAGCCAUGCAAUCCGAGAUAGAAUCCAUGUAUGAAAACAAAGUAUGGACUUUGACUAACUUGCCCGAUGAUCGGCGAGCGAUAGAAAACAAAUGGAUCUUUAAGAAGAAGACGGACGCGGAUGGUAAUGUAACCAUCUAUAAAGCUCGACUUGUCGCUAAGGGUUAUCGGCAAGUUCAAGGGAUUGACUACGAUGAUACUUUCUCUCCAGUAGCGAAGCUUAAGUCCGUCCGAAUCAUGUUAGCAAUUGCCGCAUACUAUGAUUAUGAGAUAUGGCAGAUGGACGUCAAAAUGGCAUUCCUUAACGGGCAUCUUAAGGAAGAACUGUAUAUGAUGCAGACGGAGGGUUUUGUCGAUCCUAAGAAUUCUAACAAAGUAUGCAAGCUCCAGCGAUCCAUUUAUGGGCUGGUGCAAGCAUCUCGGAGUUGGAACAUUCGCUUUGAUGAGAUGAUCAAAGCGUUUGGGUUUAUGCAGACUUAUGGAGAAGGUUGUGUUUACAAGAAAGUGAGUGGGAGCUCUGUAGCAUUUCUCAUAUUAUAUGUAGAUGACAUACUUUUGACGGGAAAUGAUAUAGAAUUCUUGAACAGCAUUAAGGCCUACUUGAAUAAGUGUUUUUCAAUGAAGGACCUUGGAGAAGCUGCUUACAUAUUAGGCAUCAAGAUCUAUAGGGAUAGAUCAAGACGCCUCAUAGGUCUUUCACAAAGCACAUACCUUGAUAAGAUUUUGAAGAAGUUAAAAAUGGAUCAGUCCAAGAAAGGGUUCUUGCCUGUACUGCAAGGUGUGAGAUUGAGCUCGGCUCAAUGCCCGACCACGGCAAAAGAUAAAGAAGAGAUGAGUGUCAUCCCCUAUGCCUCAGCCAUAGGAUCUAUUAUGUAUGCCAUGCUGUGUACCAGACCUGAUGUAAACCUUGCCGUAAGUUUGGUAGGUAGGUACCAAACUAAUCCCGGCAAGGAACACUGGACAGCGGUCAAGAAUAUCCUGAAGUACCUGAAAAAGACUAAGGACAUGUUUCUCGUUUAUGGAGGUGACGAAGAGCUCGUCGUAAAGGGUUACGUCGAUGCUAGCUUUAACACAGAUCUGGAUGACUCUAAGUCACAAACCGGAUACGUGUAUAUGUUGAAUGGUGGAGCAGUAAGCUGGUGCAGUUGCAAACAGAGCGUCGUGGCGGGAUCUACAUGUGAAGCGGAGUACAUGGCAGCCUCGGAGGCAGCGCAUGAAGCAAUUUGGGUGAAGGAGUUCAUCACCGACCUAGGA
rnacentral:rRNA from 1 species